rnacentral:rRNA from 1 species
UGCAUGCGUCGCAUAGCACGUAAUAAAUGUACGUUUAGGGGUGAUAGGCUUUUCAAACGUUCCUAUAACUUGUUUCAUAUGAAAAGUAUUAAGUACCUAAACAAAUUUAAAAAGUUAAGCUUUUAAAUAACUAUUAAAGAUAUUAUCCCCUUGUAGUGUAGUUUAAUAGCUAUCUACAUAAUAACUUAAUAUAAAGUAUAAUAGUUUAUAUUUUAUAAUAUGACGUUAACAAUUUUGUUUAAUAUUUGAAAAUGUUAGUAUUAGUAAUAUUAGUAUAUGUGCUAAAGGAACUCGGCAAAAAACCACUCAACUGUUUAUCAAAAACAUAGCUAUAUGCAUUAAUAUAUAGUUAUUUCUGCUCAAUGACUUAAAUAGCCGCAGUACUCUGACUGUGCAAAGGUAGCAUAAUCAGUUGGCUUUUAAUUAGAGUCUGGUAUGAACGAAAAUAUGGGUAGUAACUGUCUUAGCACAUUUUUUCGAACUUAUUAAACAAGUGCAAAUGCUUGUAAUUUAACAAUAGACGAGAAGACCCUAGAAACUUGGACAAGUUUUUGUUGGGGCGACAGAAUUACACUUAACUAAUCUUAUAAUACACGACGCGAUGUUGAAAGAAUAAGUUACUCUAGGGAUAACAGCAUAAUUUCAUUAGUUUGUGACCUCGAUGUUGGACUAGGUACUAUACCCUUAAGGCAAGGAUAUAUUAUGCUCUGUUCGAGCAAAAUUACCUACAUGAUCUGAGUUCAGACCGG